rnacentral:rRNA from 1 species
AGGAGAAAGAACUAACUAGGAUUCCCUUAGUAGCUGCGAGCGAACAGGGAAAAGCCCAGCACCGAAUCUUGCGGCCGGUAACGGUCGCCGAGAAAUGUGGUGUUAGGGAGGAUCCGUUAUCUCGAGGUAAUACGGUGCGUCCAAGUCCUUCUUGAACGGGGCCACAGCCCAUAGAGGGUGCCAGGCCCGUAGCGACUGCCGUUUACAGCGAGAGGGUCUCUCCUCAGAGUCGGGUUGCUUGAGAGUGCAGCCCUAAGUGGGUGGUAAACUCCAUCUAAGGCUAAAUAUGACCACGAGACCGAUAGCGAACAAGUACCGUGAGGGAAAGUUGAAAAGCACUUUGAAGAGAGAGUUCAAGAGUACGUGAAACCGUUUAGGGGUAAACCUGAGAAACCCGAAAGGUCGAAAGGAGAAAUUCAUUCGCGUUUCGGCCGGCGGUGACGGGCGUUAGAGUGACGUCGAGCUUCGUGCGAGACGCGCCUUUCGUUCGUCUUACCGUUGUCGAACGCGUGCACUUUUCUCCUAGUAGGACGUCGCGAUCCGUUGGGUGCGGGUAUAAGGCCUCCGGUGGAGUCCUCGAGUCGUUUCGUAUUCGAGAACCCGGGGUGUCCCUACCUGCUCGCUCGACGGUAUAAUGAUGGCGCGGAGCCGCUACCUGUUAGCGUUCGGCCCGCGGCAAGCAAGUCGGGUGUGUCGGCCUCCGGACCUAGCGCCGGUUCUGACCCCCGGCUACUGUUGGCCGCGGUGUUCUCGGACAGACUCCGUACACGCCAUCGGCGACGCUUUAGCUGGUACUUCAG